GACGAACGCUGGCGGCGUGCUUAACACAUGCAAGUCGAACGGAAAGGCCCUGCUUUUGUGGGGUGCUCGAGUGGCGAACGGGUGAGUAACACGUGAGUAACCUGCCCUUGACUUUGGGAUAACUUCAGGAAACUGGGGCUAAUACCGGAUAGGAGCUCCUGCUGCAUGGUGGGGGUUGGAAGGUUUCGGCGGUUGGGGGUGGACUCGCGGCUUAUCAGCUUGUUGGUGGGGUAGUGGCUUACCAAGGCUUUGACGGGUAGCCGGCCUGAGAGGGUGACCGGCCACAUUGGGACUGAGAUACGGCCCAGACUCAUACGGGAGGCAGCAGUGGGGAAUAUUGCACAAGGGGCGGAAGCCUGAUGCAGCAACGCCGCGUGCGGGAUGACGGCCUUCGGGUUGUAAACCGCUUUCGCCUGUGACGAAGCGUGAGUGACGGUAAUGGGUAAAGAAGCACCGGCUAACUACGU
rnacentral:rRNA from 1 species